rnacentral:rRNA from 1 species
CGGACGGGUGAGUAACGCGUGAGAAUCUGGCUUCAGGUCUGGGACAACCACUGGAAACGGUGGCUAAUACCGGAUGUGCCGAGAGGUGAAAGGUUAACUGCCUGAAGAUGAGCUCGCGUCUGAUUAGCUAGUUGGAAGUGUAACGGACUCCCAAGGCGACGAUCAGUAGCUGGUCUGAGAGGACGAUCAGCCACACUGGGACUGAGACACGGCCCAGACUCCUACGGGAGGCAGCAGUGGGGAAUUUUCCGCAAUGGGCGAAAGCCUGACGGAGCAAUACCGCGUGAGGGAGGAAGGCUCUUGGGUCGUAAACCUCUUUUCUCAGGGAAGAACACAAUGACGGUACCUGAGGAAUAAGCAUCGGCUAACUCCGUGCCAGCAGCCGCGGUAAUACGGAGGAUGCAAGCGUUAUCCGGAAUGAUUGGGCGUAAAGCGUCCGCAAGUGGCAAUGUAAGUCUGCUGUUAAAGAGUCUAGCUCAACUAGAUAAGAGCAGUGGAAACUACAUAGCUAGAGUACGUUCGGGGCAGAGGGAAUUCCUGGUGUAGCGGUGAAAUGCGUAGAGAUCAGGAAGAACACCGGUGGCGAAGGCGCUCUGCUAGGCCGUAACUGACACUGAGGGACGAAAGCUAGGGGAGCGAAUGGGAUUAGAUACCCCAGUAGUC